rnacentral:rRNA from 1 species
ACCCGCUGAACUUAAGCAUAUCAAUAAGCGGAGGAAAAGAAACCAACAGGGAUUGCCUCAGUAACGGCGAGUGAAGCGGCAAGAGCUCAAAUUUGAAAGCUGGCCCCUUCGGGGUCCGCGUUGUAAUUUGCAGAGGAUGCUUCGGGUGCAGCCCCCGUCUAAGUGCCCUGGAACGGGCCGUCAUAGAGGGUGAGAAUCCCGUCUGGGACGGGGUGUCUGCGUCCGUGUGAAGCUCCUUCGACGAGUCGAGUUGUUUGGGAAUGCAGCUCUAAAUGGGUGGUAAAUUUCAUCUAAAGCUAAAUACUGGCCGGAGACCGAUAGCGCACAAGUAGAGUGAUCGAAAGAUGAAAAGCACUUUGAAAAGAGAGUUAAACAGCACGUGAAAUUGUUGAAAGGGAAGCGUUUGCGACCAGACUCGCCCGCGGGGUUCAGCCGGCAUUCGUGCCGGUGUACUUCCCCGUGGGCGGGCCAGCGUCGGUUUGGGCGGCCGGUCAAAGGCCCUCGGAAUGUAUCACCUCUCGGGGUGUCUUAUAGCCGAGGGUGCAAUGCGGCCUGCCUGGACCGAGGAACGCGCUUC